UGCAAGUCGAGCGGACAGAUGGGAGCUUGCUCCCUGAUGUUAGCGGCGGACGGGUGAGUAACACGUGGGUAACCUGCCUGUAAGACUGGGAUAACUCCGGGAAACCGGGGCUAAUACCGGAUGGUUGUUUGAACCGCAUGGUUCAGACAUAAAAGGUGGCUUCGGCUACCACUUACAGAUGGACCCGCGGCGCAUUAGCUAGUUGGUGAGGUAACGGCUCACCAAGGCAACGAUGCGUAGCCGACCUGAGAGGGUGAUCGGCCACACUGGGACUGAGACACGGCCCAGACUCCUACGGGAGGCAGCAGUAGGGAAUCUUCCGCAAUGGACGAAAGUCUGACGGAGCAACGCCGCGUGAGUGAUGAAGGUUUUCGGAUCGUAAAGCUCUGUUGUUAGGGAAGAACAAGUGCCGUUCAAAUAGGGCGGCACCUUGACGGUACCUAACCAGAAAGCCACGGCUAACUACGUGCCAGCAGCCGCGGUAAUACGUAGGUGGCAAGCGUUGUCCGGAAUUAUUGGGCGUAAAGGGCUC
rnacentral:rRNA from 1 species